AGGUUCUCUCUCCUUCAGUCUCUCUCAGUCGCGACUCUCUUCUCUCCCUCCCUCCCUCCUUGUUCUCCUUCUCUAUCUCUUACUUCUCAAUCAGAUUCAGUUUUUCGUUUUCUUUUCAUUGGGUUUUGAUUGAGUUUCUGAGUUCUGAUAUGAUUGAUUUUCGGAUAUUGCUGUUUCUUAUUUAUUGGGUUUCUGAGAUCGAUUGAUACUUUGAAUUUCAAAAUUGGAUUGUUGCUACUUUGAAUUUUGAAAUUGGAUGGUUGCUGCAAUUGUUCAUGUUUCUAAGUCGGAUAUUGCUUUCUCCAUUUUUUCAUUGGGUUUCGAUUGGGUUUAUUGA
rnacentral:lncRNA from 1 species